AAAAAAAUAAAUAAAACGGGUGCCUUUUGUUCGAUAAAGGCUGAAAAGGGAAGCCGGUUAAAAUCCGGCGCGGUCCCGCCACUGUAUGGGGGAGGAACUUCACACCAUGUCACUGGGCGUAAAUCCCGGGAAGACGUGAGGUAUCCGAUAAUCCCGAGCCAGGAGACCUGCCCGUUAUUGUUUUAGCCA
rnacentral:ncRNA from 2 species